AAGGAAAAGGGAAGGGAUAUUCGAGAAAGAAAGGAUAUUAUUUGGUAAUUCGAGCUGAAAUCUGCGAAGGAGAGAAAGGCUGGGAUACAGAGAGAUCGGGUUUGGCGGGUUUUAGUUAGGAUUAAACUUAGUUUCGAGGCGCAAAACGCAUUUUCCAUAAGCAUAAGGGGGUGAAUCGGGGCUGUCGCUCCUUAAGUAGAAAGUUAGUUGGCACAUGGAGGAUGGAGGAAAGGAGGGGAGCCAAGAGCUCCUCGGCAAAGUAAAUACGCGUUCACAUUUUUCCCUUUUUAUUCGCUUUCUGGAUAAUACAUACGUAUUCGGAAUGCCAGCAACACGGCAUUCCCGUGUCGUCUACUCGCUCCGUCUUUCGAGACAUCUUUCGAUUUCCGUGGAAAAAAUCGUGGAAACAUACGAGGAAGAAUCGCGAUUCUAAUCUAAUCGAAUGAUCCUCUCGAAUAAGCCUGUCUAUUUCGAAGAUGAACUGCUUCGAUUUCACGUGGAUCGAUCGGUGUGACAAACAGAAGGAAAACGCGUUUCACUCGUGAAUCCUCUUCCGGGAGAGGGGGGAGAUUCGAACUUUGAAUUCGAAUUUUUUCGAAAUAAAAUCACAUCGAAGAAAAUUAGAUGAAAUUAGCGAGUGCGCAACAGAUUGCCAUAAGGUAUUCGCGAUAAAGAUAUAAAAAUUAAUAAAAAUAAAAGAGAAGUAAACGAUUUUUACCGUUUUCUUCUGUAUCUAUCCGUCCAUAUGAUAGAAAUUUAACAAAGUUAAAUCGAGAUUCUCCUCGAGGAUCCGAGUUUUAUUCAAUUAGAAAAGAUGAUCCCGCAUUUCACCCACGAUAAAAUCUCUCUUUCGAGAAGCUUGUUAUCCACGAUAAUAACAAUAGCGCAAAGUGGCGAAGAGAUAUCGAACGAUGAUGAUAUUUUUAAAUCGAUCGGGUUAUUAUGAGAUAAAAUAAAAAAAAGUAGAGAAGAUCUUUCUUUCCUCUUUCUUUCUUUCUUUCGUAAGAGAGAAACGUUUGCCGCAAGAAACGAGAAGACAGGAGAAUGCUUUGUGCUGCGUCACACGAAGUUUGGGAAAGCUUCGAAGACGUUACGAGUCCACCGUGUCUCGCGGGAGACAGACGGGAUGGGACGAGUAAAGAAUCGAACGUCGUUUAUUUUGUUCGAAAGAACGGCCACCCCGGAUACCUCGAACGAUGAGAACAUUAAUCGGAAUGAAAGAUCCACGAGAAUCCAAGACAAUUGGAGGAGAUGCAACGGAGGAGAGAAAGAUUUCGGUGUGGAAAUAUGGUUGGCAGGCAGGAUGGGUAAGUUACUUGGUUAGCUCGGUGUUACUUCAUCCGAGGAAAAGAGGAUCGAAGAAUUUGUGGCGCGGUGAACGGCGUUAGUCGAGGAAAAUGGGAUCCCUCCAGGAUCGUCGCUGACGAAAAAUUCGGUCGUCGUUGGUUCACAGAUAUCGACAAGAGAGGAUUGGCCUAACGUCCAACACCACCGAACCCUGGCUGACACCUAUUAGGAUUGGUUUAACAGGAUCCUUCCACGAGUGGCGAAACGUUUAAGGCAGAGUCCAAAGGAGCCCGCCAACAAGAAAAUCCUUUUGAUCCCGAUGAAAUCUCGCGUUUCGGGAAACCAGAGCGGCGACCAACUCGUCCAGCGCUAAUAGAACGUGACGCGAGAGGGUAUCGGGCGCCCAGCUCGUCAACGGAUCCGGUCCGCCCCUUUCCAGCCUCCAACGGUGCACCGUUCUUAAGAUGUGUCUGG